rnacentral:rRNA from 1 species
CUACGGGAGGCAGCAGUGGGGAAUAUUGGACAAUGGGGGAAACCCUGAUCCAGCAAUGCCGCGUGUGUGAAGAAGGCCUGCGGGUUGUAAAGCACUUUCGGUUGGGAGGACUGCUUCUAGCACUAAUAUUGUUGGAAGUUGACGUUACCUUCAGAAGAAGCACCGGCUAACUCCGUGCCAGCAGCCGCGGUAAUACGGAGGGUGCAAGCGUCAAUCGGAAUUACUGGGCGUAAAGCGCGCGUAGGCGGCUAGAUCAGUCGGGUGUGAAAGCCCCGGGCUUAACCUGGGAACUGCAUCCGAUACUGUCUAGCUUGAGUACAGGAGAGGAGAGUGGAAUUCCACAUGUAGCGGUGAAAUGCGUAGAUAUGUGGAGGAACACCAAUGGCGAAGGCAGCUCUCUGGCCUGAUACUGACGCUGAGGUGCGAAGGCGUGGGGAGCAAACAGGAUUAGAUACCCUCGUAGUC